CUUCCCCAGGUCCUGGCCUCUAAACCCCUGGAGGGAGGCCGUGCGUACUGGGAGGUGGAGGUGGAGGAAGACGAGGGAAAAUGGAAGGUGGGAGUCUGCGAGGGUCAGAUCGGCCGUAAGGGCCAGAAAGACACCUGCCGUAUCGGCUUCAACCCCUAUUCUUGGUGCCUGCUGAGUGAGAAGGGGAAGAUAGAAGCCCUGCACGACAAGGUGGCUGUCCCUGUGGAGGUCGACGGACUGGGAAGGGUUGGGGUGUUGCUGGAUUUCGAGGAGGGUAGCCUGUCGUUCUAUAAAGUGGCACAAGGGGGCGCUCUGAGCUUGCUCCAUUGUUUUAAACAGAGGUUCAGUGAACCAUUGUAUCCUGCACUAGCCGUGUCUAAAACCCAGCUCAACAUCCCUGAUCUGUUCCAGGCAGAAUCUGUUAAGUCA